GCUCCUGUUUUGUCGGUAGUUGCGCCUGGUGCAGUGGUGGAUCGUUGGUUUCAGAUGUAUGUGCGUGUAGCUGAGUAAGAAACGAAAAAGGCCUUUUCAGAGAAACCUUUUCAAAGAGGACUUUUGUUUUUCCGAUUUUUACUAUGCCGUCUCACGUCUGCGUUCUGUGGCAAAGGAGAUAUUGCGGCCUCUAGCUCUGUGGUUAGACUUGAAAUUUCAACACUCUUGAAGCAGAAAUACAACAGUCCGUGUUGGAUUUUGGUUGAGUCACAAGAUUUUAGUGCGGGUUGACCCAGGUGCUUCCGGUGACGAACUGCUGUGGAGACAAGACGACGGCAACGCGACAGAGCACGUCUUCAUACAAGGAUAGAAGGUGUGAUGUCAUCUUCAUACAAAGAUAUAAAGUGUGAUGUCAUCUUCAUAAAAGGAAAGAAGGUUUGAUGUCAUCUUCAUGCACUCUAUGCCCGAGUCUGGUCCUUCGGGAUAUGUGCAGAUGUGUACCUGGUGCGGGAAGAACCUAUGAUCAAUGUGCUGGACUACCGCAGCAAACCAGUGAAGGUGUUUCCGAAGCCUCUGCGUCAUGCAUAUCCAACCGCCAUUUCAAUCUCCUUGCUGAUAUGAAGCUCAUAUAUUGGUGCCUCAGCUGUGUACGAA